ensembl:lncRNA
AUGUCUAUCAGGUUUGCUUGCUCCAGGUCUGAGUUCAAGCCCUGGGUAUCCUUGUUGAUUUUCUGUCUGGUUGAUCUGUCUAGUAUUGACAGUGGAGUGUUAAAGUCUCCCACUAUUAUUGUGUGGGAGUCUAAGUCCUUCUGUAAGUCAUUAAGAACUUGCCUUAUGUAUCUGGGUGCUCCUGCAUUGGGUCCAUAUAUGUUUAGGAUCGUUAGCUCUUCUUGUUGUAUCGAUCCUUUUACCAUUAUGUAAUGGCCUUCUUUGUCUCUUUUGAUCUUUGUUGCUUUAAAGUCUAUUUUAUCAGAGAUGAGAAUUGCAACUCCUGCUUUUUUUUGCUUUCCAUUAGCUUGGUAAAUCUUCCUCCAUCCCUUUAUUUUGAGCCUUUGUGUAUCCUUGCAUGUGAGAUGGGUUUCCUGGAUACAGCACACUGAUGGGUUUUGGAUUUUUAUCCAAUUUGCCAGUCUGUGUCUUUUGAUUGGUGCAUUUAGUCCAUUUACAUUUAGGGUUAAUAUUGUUAUGUGUGAAUUUGAUACUGCCAUUUUGAUUCUAAGUGGCUGUUUUGCCUGUUAGUUGUUGUAGAUUCUUCAUUAUGUUGAAGCUCUUUAGCAUUCAAUGUGAUUUUGGAAUGGCUGGUACUGAUUGAUCCUUUCUAUGUGUAGUGCCUCUUUUAGGAGCUCUUGUAAAGCAGGCCUGGUGGUGACAAAAUCUCUGAGUACUUGCUUGUUCGCAAAGGAUUUUAUUCUUCCUUCACUUCUGAAGCUCAGUUUGGCUGGAUAUGAAAUUCUGGGUUGAAAGUUCUUUUCUUUAAGAAUGUUGAAUAUUGGCCCCCACUCUCUUCUGGCUUGUAGUGUUUCUGCCGAGAGAUCUGCUGUGAGUCUGAUGGGCUUCCCUUUGUGGGUGACCCGACCUUUCUCUCUGGCUGCCCUUAGUAUUCUCUCCUUUAUUUCAACCCUGUUGAAUCUGACGAUUAUGUGCCUUGGGGUUGCUCUUCUUGCGGAAUAUCUUUGUGGUGUUCUCUGUAUUUCCUGCAAUUGAGUGUUGGCUUGUCUUGCUAGGUGGGGGAAAUUUUCCUGGAUGAUGUCCUGAAGAGUAUUUUCCAGCUGGGAUUCAUUCUCUUCGUCCCCUUCUGGUACACCUAUCAAACGUAGGUUAGGUCUUUUCACAUAGUCCCACAUUUCUUGGAGACUUUGUUCAUUCCUUUUUGCGCUUUUUUCUCUGAUCUUGGUUUCUCGUUUUAUUUCAUUGAGUUGGUCUUCGACUUCAGAUAUUCUUUCUUCUGCUUGGUCAAUUCGGCUAUUGAAACUUGCGUUUGCUUCGCGAAGUUCUCGUAUUGUGUUUUUCAGCUCCUUUAAUUCAUUCAUAUUCCUCUCUAAGGUAUCCAUUCUUGUUAUCAUUUCCUCGAAUCUUUUUUCAAAUCUUUUUUCAAGGUUCUUAGUUUCUUUGCAUUGAUUUAAUACAUGAUCUUUUAGCUCACAAAAGUUUCUCAUUAUCCAUCUUCUGAAGUCUAAUUCCGUCAUUUCGUCACAGUCAUUCUCCGUCCAGCUUUGUUCCCUUGCUGGUGAGGAGUUUUGGUCCUUUCUAGGAGGCAAUGUGUUCUGGUUUCGGGUGUUUUCCUCCUUUUUGCGCUGGUUUCUUCCCAUCUUUGCGGAUUUGUCCGCUGGUCGUCUGCGUAGUUGCUGACUUUUCGUUUGGGUCUCUGAGUGGACACCCAGAAUGUUGAUGAUGAAGUAUUUCUGUUGCUUGGUUUUUCUUCUACCAGUCUAGCCCCUUCGCUGUACGACUGUUGAGGUCUGCUCCAGACCCUGCUUGUCUGGGGUGCACCUCUAGUAGCCGUGGCACAGCGAGGGAUGCUACCAGUUUCUUUUUCUGCUCUCUUUGUCCCAGGAUGAUGCCUGCCUAAUGACAGUCUUUUGGAUAUAGAGGGGUCAGGGAGCUGCUUGAGGAGACAGUUUGUACUUUAUAGGUGUUUAAUUGCUGAGCUGUGCACUCUGUUGUUCAUUCAGGGCUGUUAGGCUGCUAUGUUUGAUUCUGCUGCAACACAGCUCAUUAAACAACCCUUUUUUUUUUCUCAAAUGCUCUGUGUUGAGGGGUUUGGGCUUUAUUUUUGGAUGUCCAUUCUGGUGUCCUGCCCAGCUCAAAGGCAGAC